UACGGAGGGUGCAAGCGUUAUCCGGAUUCACUGGGUUUAAAGGGUGCGUAGGCGGUUUUUUAAGUCAGUGGUGAAAGCUCGCAGCUUAACUGUGAAACUGCCAUUGAAACUGAAAGACUUGAGUAUAAUUGAAGUGGGCGGAAUACAUCAUGUAGCGGUGAAAUGCUUAGAUAUGAUGUAGAACACCGAUUGCGAAGGCAGCUCACUAAAUUGUAACUGACGCUGAGGCACGAAAGCGUGGGUAGCGAACAGGG
rnacentral:rRNA from 1 species